CCCUCUGGUGCCCACAGCUGUGGGGCAGUUGCUGUCAUUGCCACAAGCUCUGGAGCCAACAGCAGGAGACCCUGCCUUGCAUCCACCAUCCGGGGACCCCUGGGCACUGCAGAAGGUGUGAGUCUGCUGUGAGGAAGCCAUAACCGGAGACCCAGAGUGACGGGAAGGAAUGAGCAACAAGCCAGCAACGUCAGUGGGGAGCGAGCGGACCAAGCUGCGAACCCUGGCCCGCCAAGACUCCUGUGUUGUUCCUGUCAUUCCAACACCAGUGGCCGGCGCUCAGGUCGCCAGGCCACACGCGCUGAGGACCCUGGCUGUGACGCCCUUCUCAUGCUCCGCCUACACAUGGUCUCACUAUGCAGCCCAGGCUGGCUUCAAACUCAAGG
ensembl:lncRNA